UACGUAGGGGGGCAAGCGUUGUCCGGAUUUAUUGGGCGUAAAGAGCGUGUAGGCGGCUUUACAGGUCCGUUGUGAAAACUCGAGGCUCAACCUCGAGACGCCGGUGGAAACCGUAAGGCUAGAGUCCGGAAGAGGAGAGUGGAAUUCCUGGUGUAGCGGUGAAAUGCGCAGAUAUCAGGAGGAACACCCGGUGGCGAAAGGCGGGCUCUCGGUCG
rnacentral:rRNA from 1 species